AUGAGACAUCUUUGUGUAUUUCUUUCUUUUUUUCUUUUCGUUUCUUUUCUUCUUCCUUCUU
rnacentral:ribozyme from 13 species